rnacentral:lncRNA from 1 species
GACUUUCGGCGCCGUGGCGGAAUGGCGGCUUCCAUCUCUGAGGCGAGCGACGCUAUGGAUCCCACAGUGGUUUGCUAAGAAGGCCAUUUUCAACUCUCCACUGGAGGCUGCUAUGGCGUUCCCUCACCUGCAGCAGCCCAGCUUUCUACUGGCUAGCCUGAAAGCUGACUCUAUAAAUAAGCCCUUUGCACAGCAGUGCCAAGACUUGGUUAAAGUCAUUGAGGACUUUCCAGCAAAGGACACCAGCCAUACCCUUUGCUUCCUAUGGCCUCCACCACACUAGCCUCCUAAAGCGACACAUCUCUCAUCAGACGUCUGUGAAUGCAGACCCCGCCUCCCACGAGAUCUGGAGGUCAGAAACUCUGCUCCAGGUUUUUGUUGAAAUGUGGCUUCAUCACUAUUCCUUGGAGAUGUAUCAAAAAAUGCAGUCCCCUCAUGCCAAGCUGGAGGUUCUGCACUACCGACUCAGUGUCUCCAGCGCCCUCUACAGCCCCGCCCAACCCAGCCUCCAGGCCCUCCACGCCUACCAAGAGUCGUUCACGCCUACUGAGGAGCAUGUGUUGGUG